GCUCCGGUAGUAUAGUCCGGUCAAGUAUUCCGGCCUUUCGAGCCGGAGACCCGGGUUCGAAUCCCGGCCGGAGCACCA
rnacentral:tRNA from 1 species